GUAAAAAAUACCUAAGUUGCGUUACAGAUUUGGUCAUUUCUGAGGCAUAAAGUGAGCUGUGUUGGCUAUGUUUUGCGGUAACA